UGGGGCGCCUCAGUCGUGUGCGGGCCGCUGUUCAGUGAGGGUGUGGAGUGCGCGCUCCAGCCACACACUGCACCACGCGCUGUACUGAGUGGCGAGGCGUUGCUCUCUCCUGACGCUACCACCGCAGCCACGUGUCACCUUCACCCUUGCACCUUCAUGUUGGACUGUCAUCAUAUCACAGGAACAAAUAAACAGUAAAUUGAUAAGCAAGGUAAAUAAGAAGUAGCAAUAACAGAAAAAAAACUAACAAACAAAGAAAGAAAGGAACACGGUGCCAAAAAGUGACCGAAAGUGAUAUAUAUUUAUAUUUUUCGAUCUCGACAAGAACAAAGCGUGUACAAAGAAUACAGAAAAAAAAUAUGAGGAAAAAACAAACAAACAAACAAGAGACAAAGUGAAUUAUAUAAAGGAAAUAAGUAAAAGAAAGACACACACACACACACACACACACACAUUCAAGGACCAUCACAGAACAGAUUAACAAAAGAAAAGAAAAAAGUGAAAAGUUGAUGAUAUAAAAGAGAACAAGAAAACACAAUAGGAAAGAACACAACAGUAAAAAAAAAAUUACGAUACACAAACACAGGAAACAGUCGUAAAAAAGAAGAAAGCAAGCAAGAGGAAAACAGACUUUGACAUAUAAACAAGCAAGAAGAAUAAGAGGAAGCCACGCCCGCCUCUGUUAGCAGGAAGGUGCUGAGCUCAGACCACCACCACCACCACCACCACCACCAUCGUCACCCACACAUUCAACAGGAUCACCACCACCACCACCACCACCACCACCACUGCCACCACCAGCGAAUGUAAACAAAGCAGACCAAACACCAUUAAGAAAUAACACAAGGUGACCUGAGCGAGCAAGGCCAGGCUGGGUCACGGGAGGCACCCACUCAGCAGCACAGGCAGAUAGGGAGGCAAGCAAGGAAAGUAAGAGAGAAUGAAGAUAACAGAGAAAUGAAGAGUAGAAACCAGUUAAAGGAAGAAUAGUAGAAACUGAAGGGAAGGAGAGUAAAAAGCUUAGAAGGAAAAACGGGAGCUUUAAAUAGAACAGAAUUCUGGAAAAAGAAACCAACGUUGCAAAAAAGAAGAGUGGACAGACGAGCAAGAAAAAAAAACAGAAGAGUAGAAACCUGAUUGCGAGUGUGUGUUUGUGUUAUUGUUUUCUGUCUCUCUCUCACACACACAUACACACACACUCUCUUUUCCUGUCCCUAAAGCGCGUCAGCCAAAUAUUUAAGUGAGAAGGAAAAGGAGAGAGACAAAAUAAAUAAAUAAAUAAAUAAAAUGUGAACAACUUAUUGACUGAAGGAGAACUAGUCCCACCCAUCCACCCAAACACACGCACACAUACACACACACACACACACACACACACACAGACGACAAAUAAUCAUAGACCAGUGAAUUCACAGAGAUACAAGAUGAAGUAAAGACAAAAACUGAGGCGGCAAGGGACAUAAAAGUCUUAAACAAAAGAACAUGAGGAGGAGGAGGAAGACAUGAUGCCAAAACACAGAGAUUCAACUUCGUGAGACAAAAACAAUGAAACUUCUUAGUCUACGAAGAAAGUAAGAAAGGAGGGCGGACGACAAGGAGGAGGGGGAGGAGGCGAGGAGAAGGAGGGGGAAAGAGAAAGAGGAGGAGGAGGGAGAGAAAGAGGAAGAAGAAAGGGGGAGGAGGAGGAGGAGGAGGAGGAGGAGGAGGAGGAAGAGGAGGAGGAGAAGUGACCUGUAAACAACUUGAAGCCACACAAAGAAGAGAAUAUAAAGAGGAUGAGAAACAGAAAAAAAAACAAAAAGUGAAAGAAAAGAAAUGACAGAGGAAGAAAAGGAAAGGAAGUGAACACAACACAAAACACAGGAAAACAAGAAACAAGAAAUAAGAAAGAAAAGUGAAGGAGGUGAAAACAAGAGAAAUAUCAACAAGAACAUUAACGACGGCAAUGACAAUAAGAACGAGAAGCAAAAGUCGAUCGUAAUGCGCAUCCCCCCAUCCAUCCAGCCCCACAGGAACCCCACACCCCCCGCCCCACUCUGCCGCCCUCCUGCACUGUGACUCCGAAACAGAAAGAAGGGACGUCUGCCCCCUGAGAGAGAGAGAGAGAGAGAGAGAGAGAGAGAGAGAGAGAGAGAGAGAGAGAGAGAGAGAGAGAGAGAAAUUGCAGUGGAGUUAAGAAUUUAAGAUAUGAGACUUUGCUGUUUCUUCCAAAUUGCUUGAAGGCUUGAAGAAUAAAAGGUAAAGGAAAGACAGACGGAAAAAAAAAAAAGAGAGGGAAAAAAAAAACAAUAUCUUAUGAAUCACCAUGGCGACCUGAGGCAACAGAAACAUUCCUAAGGCAGUUAAAGAAAAAACUAAAGGAAACAAAAGGACACACACACACACACACACACACACACACACACACACACUCACACACACACACACACACACACACACACACACACACA